rnacentral:rRNA from 1 species
AUUGAACGCUGGCGGCAUGCUUUACACAUGCAAGUCGAACGGCAGCGCGGGCUUCGGCCUGGCGGCGAGUGGCGAACGGGUGAGUAAUGCAUCGGAACGUGCCCAGCAGUGGGGGAUAGCCCGGCGAAAGCCGGAUUAAUACCGCAUACGACCUGAGGGUGAAAGCGGGGGACCGAAAGGCCUCGCGCUAUUGGAGCGGUCGAUGUCGGAUUAGCUAGUUGGUGGGGUAAAGGCUUACCAAGGCGACGAUCCGUAGCUGGUCUGAGAGGACGACCAGCCACACUGAGACUGAGACACGGCCCAGACUCCUACGGGAGGCAGCAGUGGGGAAUUUUGGACAAUGGGGGCAACCCUGAUCCAGCCAUGCCGCGUGCGGGAAGAAGGCCUUCGGGUUGUAAACCGCUUUUGUUCGGGAAGAAAUCCUCUGGGCUAAUACCCCGGGGGGAUGACGGUACCGGAAGAAUAAGCACCGGCUAACUACGUG